UGUUGUAGUAAUACUUGAUACGGGGGUGGAUCCAAAACCUCUAGAAGGUUAACAAAGGCUCUCCAUCCCCUACUCCUACUCAACACGUCCCCACAGAAUGGUAACAUGUCUCUCGAUUAUCCAAGCGGUGGUAUACGGGUAAAUCCAACCCAUUGGGCGGAUGGGUUACAUGGCUCAAUUGAGAGGG
rnacentral:ribozyme from 1 species